rnacentral:lncRNA from 1 species
UUAGAGUGGUCAAUUCCAUCUUGACUCACGCAUCUACUUCACAAGUACCUGACUGUACCCAAAAAUCUUUCGAUCUUGAAUUAAAAAUUCAGGUAGUUCAGCAUCAAAGCACAGUGAGCUGCUUGUAAGUCAUCGUGGUGAUCUUAGAUCGGAGGGACACUUAUACCUAUAUCCUUUUCGGAGUGACUCUUGACAGCAGAGUGCUCCGGAGUUGGUCAUGUUUCGUGAAAUGUACUCCUACAUUUUACCUGCAUGCCAUACCAGCGUCUCCAUGCUCCUUGGUUA